rnacentral:rRNA from 1 species
GUAUAACUAAGCGGAGGAAAAGAAACUAACAAGGAUUCCCAUAGUAACGGCGAGUGAAGUGGGAAGAGCUCAAACUGAAAAUCGGUCUGGCGCAAGCUGGUCGAAUUGUAGUCUAGAGGAGUGCAUCCAGGCGCGGCGCGAGGGACAACUUCCAAUGAAUGGGAGACCGCAGAGGGUGCCAGUCCCGUCCGGGCCCUCGCCGCUGCGCGGUCGGAUCGCUUCAUCGAGUCGAGUUGCUUGCGAGUGCAGCUCUAAGCGGGUGGUAGAUUCCAUCUAAAGCUAAAUAUCAGCAAGAGACCGAUAGCGCACAAGUA